rnacentral:rRNA from 1 species
AUUGAACGCUGGCGGCAGGCCUAACACAUGCAAGUCGAGCGGAUGAGAAGAGCUUGCUCUUCGAUUCAGCGGCGGACGGGUGAGUAAUGCCUAGGAAUCUGCCUGGUAGUGGGGGACAAAGUUUCGAAAGGAACGCUAAUACCGCAUACGUCCUACGGGAGAAAGCAGGGGACCUUCGGGCCUUGCGCUAUCAGAUGAGCCUAGGUCGGAUUAGCUAGUUGGUGAGGUAAUGGCUCACCAAGGCGACGAUCCGUAACUGGUCUGAGAGGAGGAUCAGUCACACUGGAACUGAGACACGGUCCAAGCUCCUACGGGAGGCAGCAGUGGGGAAUAUUGGACAAUGGGCGAAAGCCUGAUCCAGCCAUGCCGCGUGUGUGAAGAGGGUCUUCGGAUUGUAAAGCACUUUAAGUUGGGAGGAAGGGCAGUAAGUUAAUACCUUGCUGUUUUGACGUUACCGACAGAAUAAGCACCGGCUAACUCUGUGCCAGCAGCCGCCGUAAAAC